ensembl:lncRNA
CUGGUUGUCUAGGCUACUAAUUAGUAAGGACCUGCCCUCACCUGGUUGUCUAGGCUACUAAUUAGUAAGGAACUGCCCUCACCUGGUUGUCUAGGCUACUAAUUAGUAAGGAACUGCCCUCACCUGGUUGUCUAGGCUACUAAUUAGUAAGGAACUGCCCUCACCUGGUUGUCUAGGCUACUAAUAGUAAGGAACUGCCCUCACCUGGUUGUCUAGGCUACUAAUUAGUAAGGAACUGCCCUCACCUGGUUGUCUAGGUUACUAAUUAGUAAGGAACUGCCCUCACCUGGUUGUCUAGGCUACUAAUUAGUAAGGAACUCCCCUCACCUGGUUGUCUAGGCUACUAAUUAGUAAAGAACUGCCAUCACCUGGUUGUCAAGGCUACUAAUUAGUAAGGAACUGCCCUCACCUGGUUGUCUAACUCUUUGAGAGGAAACACCAGACCUGACAUUAGACAGUCAUUCAUAAGGGAGGGAGGGAGAAACAUUUUAAGACUGUUGGGACUAGCUUUUAGCUAGUGAGUCAUGACGUCAUGAUACCCUCAGUGUUAGAGACAGCAUCUAUUGAGAGAACCCUGCUGAAAACUAGUGAGUCAUGACACCCUCAGUGUUAGAGACAGCAUCUAUUGAGAGAACCCUGCUGAAGACUAGUGAGUCAUGACACCCUCAGUGUUAGAGACAGCAUCUAUUGAGAGAACCCUGCUGAAGACUAGUGAGUCAUGACAUCAUGAUGCCCUCAGUGUUAGACAACAUCUAUUGAGAGAACCCUGCUGAAGACUAGUGAGUCAUGACAUCAUGUUUCCCUCAGUGUUAGACAGCAUCUAUUGAGAGAACCCUGCUGAAGACUAGUGAGUCAUGACGUCAUGAUGCCCUCAGUGUUAGAGACAGCAUCUAUUGAGAGAACCCUGCUGAAGACUAGUGAGUCAUGACAUCAUGAUGCCCUCAGUGUUAGACAACAUCUAUUGAGAGAACCCUGCUGAAGACUAGUGAGUCAUGACAUCAUGAUGCCCUCAGUGUUAGAGACAGCAUCUAUUGAGAGAACCCUGCUGAAGACUAGUGAGUCAUGACAUCAUGAUGCCCUCAGUGUUAGAGACAGCAUCUAUUGAGAGAACCCUGCUGAAGACUAGUGAGUCAUGACAUCAUGAUGCCCUCAGUGUUAGACAGCAUCUAUUGAGAGAACCCUGCUGAAGACUAGUGAGUCAUGACAUCAUGAUGCCCUCAGUGUUAGAGACAGCAUCUAUUGAGAGAACCCUGCUGAAGACUAGUGAGUCAUGACAUCAUGAUGCCCUCAGUGUUAGAGACAGCAUCUAUUGAGAGAACCCUGCUGAAGACUAGUGAGUCAUGACAUCAUGAUGCCCUCAGUGUUAGACAGCAUCUAUUGAGAGAACCCUGCUGAAGACUAGUGAGUCAUGACGUCAUGAUGCCCUCAGUGUUAGACAGCAUCUAUUGAGAGAACCCUGCUGAAGACUAGUGAGUCAUGACGUCAUGAUGCCCUCAGUGUUAGAGACAGCAUCUAUUGAGAGAACCCUGCUGAAGACUAGUGAGUCAUGACAUCAUGAUGCCCUCAGUGUUCGAGACAGCAUCUAUUGAGAGAACCCUGCUGAAGACUUGAACUCAGGCUAAGAUGCUAUUUAUGAAACGAAAUGUCGUGUAUAUAGAAAUGCAUUCCUCAAUGGUGUUAUUAUUGUUAAAGCUUUAUUUAACUUGGCAAGUCAGUUAAGAACAAAUUCUUAUUUACAAAGACGGCCUACAGGGGCAGAACGACUGAUUUUAACCUUGUUCAGCUCGGGGAUUCGAUCCAUCAACUUGCCCAUCUCUCUAACCACUAGGCUACCUGCCUCCCAAGCAGUAUGGUUGAUUCACUAUCAGGUUUUCAUUCUGAGUGUUAAAUUUAUUGAAUUGAUCUGAUGAGUAUUGUAGAUGUGUGGAAACAGGAGAGGCAGGGCUGUGGUCAGAGGAUGUUGCUGACAGACAGAAGGUUUUAGAUGUGUGGAAACAGGAGAGGCAGGGCUGUGGUCAGAGGAUGUUGCUGACAGACAGAAGGUUGUAGAUGUGGGGAAACAGGAGAGGCAGGGCUGUGGUCAGAGGAUGUUGCUGACAGACAGAAGGUUUUAGAUGUGGGGAAACAGGAGAGGCAGGGCUGUGGUCAGGAUGUUGCUGACAGACAGAAGGUUGUAGACGUGUGGAAACAGGAGAGGCAGGGCUGUGGUCAGAGGAUGUUGCUGACAGACAGAAGGUUGUAGAUGUGUGGAAACAGGAGAGGCAGGGCUGUGGUCAGAGGAUGUUGCUGACAGGCAGAAGGUUGUAGAUGUGUGGAAACAGGAGAGGCAGGGCUGUGGUCAGAGGAUGUUGCUGACAGGCAGAAGGCUGUAGAUGU